rnacentral:misc_RNA from 1 species
GUAUUGUAUUGCGUUAAACGCGGCAUACAUUCCAUGAGACUUUGUUACGGUGUGUGUGUAAAGACGUAGGACCACGGCAAGGGGACGAGGUCCCCAAGGCCACAGAACUACAGAGGGUGCACAGGUGUGAGUGGAUGUGUAAACAGAGCGUGCACGUGCCCCCUUUCGAGGGCCAGCAACAGCUCAUGUCGACGGUUCGGUAAUGAUCCUUCCGCAGGUUCACCUACGGAAA